rnacentral:rRNA from 2 species
UACGAAGGGGGCUAGCGUUGUUCGGAAUUACUGGGCGUAAAGGGCGCGUAGGCUGUGCUGUAAGUCAGGCGUGAAAUCCCCGGGCUCAACCUGGGAAUUGCGUUUGAUACUGCGGCGCUGGAAUGCAGGAGAGGAUGGCGGAAUUCCCAGUGUAGAGGUGAAAUUCGUAGAUAUUGGGAAGAACACCGGUGGCGAAGGCGGCCAUCUGGCCUGUAAUUGACGCUGAGGCGCGAAAGCGUGGGGAGCAAACAGG